rnacentral:rRNA from 1 species
AAUGGGGGCAACCCUGAUCCAGCUAUGCCGCGUGUGUGAAGAAGGCUCUAGGGUUGUAAAGCACUUUAGGUAAGGACGAAAAGAAUAUAGUUAAUACCUAUAUUCCGUGACUUAACUUACAGAAUAAGGACCGGCUAACUCCGUGCCAGCAGCCGCGGUAAUACGGAGGGUCCAAGCGUUAAUCGGAAUUACUGGGCGUAAAGCGCGCGUAGGCGGUUUGUCAAGUUGGAUGUGAAAUCCCUGGGCUCAACCUAGGAACUGCAUUCAAAACUUAUAGACUAGAGUACGAUAGAGGAGAGUAGAAUUCCUGGUGUAGCGGUGAAAUGCGUAGAUAUCAGGAGGAAUACCAAUGGCGAAGGCAACUCUCUGGAUCGACACUGACGCUGAGGUGCGAAAGCGUGGGUAGCAAACAGGAUU